rnacentral:misc_RNA from 1 species
AAGGCUGGAGAGUGACUAAAACAGACGCAUAAAAAUAAGCUGUCCAAAGAAUUUAUAACUGCAAACGUAAAAUAUUUGUAAUGGAAGAUGGAACACAUUCAAGAGUUACUUAAGUUGACUUCAUGUUCACAAAUAUUUAGAAAGACUCAAAAGGUAGUUGAAAGUGAAAAGAAUUGUUUUAAUUAUGUAAAUGAUAAGGUAAACAGUUACAAGAGUUGGAAUGUACAACGAGCAUAAAGGCACAUGAUUCUACUCAAUUGACCAUAUGACAGAAAUUGGACAAAGAUAGAAGAAAGAAGAAACAAUUCUCUUCUAUGACUUGCUUUCCUGUCUUCUUUUAUAUGGUAUUAUGGUACCACCAUAAAACUUCACAAUAUCCACCAAGCAUGAACAAAUCUCAACUUACAGUAGUUUAUCAAUGGUACCCACACAAUUUGAUUUUAAAAGGGGGAAGUUUGCUACUAAAUGUAAAACAUGAA